UACGGAGGGUGCAAGCGUUAUCCGGAUUCACUGGGUUUAAAGGGUGCGUAGGUGGGCAGGUAAGUCAGUGGUGAAAUCUCCGGGCUUAACCCGGAAACUGCCAUUGAUACUAUCAGUCUUGAAUACCGUGGAGGUAAGCGGAAUAUGUCAUGUAGCGGUGAAAUGCUUAGAUAUGACAUAGAACACCAAUUGCGAAGGCAGCUCACAAAACUGUAACUGACACUGAGGCUCGAAAGUGCGGGGAUCAAACAGG
rnacentral:rRNA from 1 species